AGAGCGAACGCUGGCGGCAGGCCUAAUACAUGCAAGUCGAACGCACCUUCGGGUGAGUGGCGGACGGGUGAGUAACACGUGGGAACGUGCCUUUGGUUCGGAAUAAUCCGGGGAAACCUGGCCUAAUACCGGAUGUGCCCUUCGGGGGAAAGAUUUAUCGCCAUUAGAGCGGCCCGCGUCUGAUUAGCUUGUUGGUGGGGUAAUGGCCCACCAAGGCUACGAUCAGUAGCUGGUCUGAGAGGAUGAUCAGCCACACUGGGACUGAGACACGGCCCAGACUCCUACGGGAGGCAGCAGUAGGGAAUCUUGCGCAAUGGGCGAAAGCCUGACGCAGCCAUGCCGCGUGAAUGAUGAAGGUCUUAGGAUUGUAAAAUUCUUUCAGCGGGAAGAUAAUGACUGUACCCGCAGAAGAAGCUCGGCUACUCGUGCCAGCAGCCGC
rnacentral:rRNA from 1 species